rnacentral:rRNA from 1 species
AUUACUAUAAAUAAAAUCUGCUCAAUGAAAAUAAAUAGCCGCAGAAUUUUAACUGUGCUAAGGUAGCAUAAUCAUUUACCUUUUAAUUAAAGGUUUGUAUGAAUGAUUUUACAAUUAAAUUAUUUUUUUGUUAAUAUUAAUAAAAUUUAAACUAAGAAUAAAAAUGUUCUUAUUUUUAAAAAAGACGACAAGACCCUAUUGAACUUAACUUAAGUUUAGCUGGGGAAGCUAAUUAAAUAGUAUUUUAAUUAAUUUGCUUAAAUAAAUAGCUAAUAAAAUUAAAUAAACAAGUUACCAUAGGGAUAACAGCGUAAUAAUUUUCCAAAGCUCUUAUUGAAAUAAAUGAUUACGACCUCGAUGUUGAAUUAAAAUUACUUUAAAAUGCAAUAGAAUAAAAGUGGGUCUGU